GUGGGUAUAGCUCAGUUGGUUAGAGCGCCGGAUUGUGAUUCCGGAGGUCGCGGGUUCGAACCCCGUUACUCACCC
rnacentral:tRNA from 1 species